AACGAACGCUGGCGGCAUGCCUAACACAUGCAAGUCGAACGAGACCUUCGGGUCUAGUGGCGCACGGGUGCGUAACGCGUGGGAACCUGCCCUUAGGUUCGGAAUAACUCCCCGAAAGGGGUGCUAAUACCGGAUAAUGUCUUCGGACCAAAGAUUUAUCGCCUUUGGAUGGGCCCGCGUUGGAUUAGCUAGUUGGUAGGGUAAAAGCCUACCAAGGCGACGAUCCAUAGCUGGUCUGAGAGGAUGAUCAGCCACACUGGGACUGAGACACGGCCCAGACUCCUACGGGAGGAAGCAGUGGGGAAUAUUGGACAAUGGGCGAAAGCCUGAUCCAGCAAUGCCGCGUGAGUGAUGAAGGCCUUAGGGUUGUAAAGCUCUUUUACCCGGGAUGAUAAUGGCAGUACCGGGAGAAUAAGCUCCGGCUAACUCCGUG
rnacentral:rRNA from 1 species